GUUCACUCGGCUCCAUUUUUACAUCAUCAUCUUGGGAUCUACACAAUGAAUAUAACCUGGAUAGAAGCUUGAGACCAUCUGCUACAACCUGCUCCUGAAUAUAGGAGCAGACUGCACUGACUGGCACUUUUUCCCAGAUCCUCCAAGCAAAGAAUUGGAACCAAGUACACGAGCUUCUAUAUCCAAUACAGCAUCCAUCUUCUCCUUCCACCCAAAUUCAUCUUUAGCUCGACCAUAUACUUCAAGAGAGUCAAUUCUGGGAAAUGUAGUGCCAUUGAAGGUAGGCCCAACAGAAAUCACAAAUUCUUCAUCCGCAAGGAGCGAUUCAGCUACAGUAAAUGGAAUAUCAUACCAGGACCGCAUGCCUUCAUCUAACUUAAUUACCCUCUGAAAAAUGGUAAUAUCAGAAGGAAUGUGGUUUGCUGAAGUGUUACCCACG
rnacentral:misc_RNA from 1 species